AUAUAUAUAUAUAUAUAUAUAAAGUUGAGUUAGAAUACUCUCAAAAGCACCAAUGAGGUGAUACUUUUGAGUUUUUAACCAUUGGAUGGUGGAAUGUAAGGUUGUGAUGAUGGUGGUAGGUGGUGGUAGGUGAUGGUCAGUGGAAUAGUGUUUGAUCCAAUGGCUAUUAGUAAUUAAGGAGCAGAUCCAAGGACUAGAAACCUAAAAACACCAAUGGGGUGAUACUUUUAAAAGUAUUCUAGCUCAAUUAUAUAUAUAUAUAUAUAUGGUGAUGCAAUUAUAAAUGAUUCUCAGAAGUGGAAGAAAACGUU
rnacentral:lncRNA from 1 species